GAAAAUGAACGUUUAUGUAAUUAUUUGCUAAAUAAUUUGAAUAAAAUUGACCAAACUUUAAAUGAAAAUGAUUUGAUUAUCGAUAAAUCUUUGUUAAAGUUACCAAUAAAUGAUAUAAACUUAGAGGUGAACAGAUUUAAUGAUAAUUUUAUAAUACAAAAUAUGGGAAAUGUUCUGGCAAAUAUUGAAAGGUGUGCUAUUGAAUAUCCUUAUUUAUUUACUAUUAAAAAUACAUAUGACAAAUCUGCCAGUCUUCAAUAUACCCCAGAGACCUGUCACCAACUAAACUAUUACCCACCAACACGAGUUCUAGAAAUCUAAUCGGUGGCCCACUUCUUUUUAACUGCCAUCAACAGAAGUGCCAUAAAUCAACAGACAUAAAUUUAAUAGCAAUUUUAUAAUAUAUAUUUUGAAUUGAUAUUUAAAUUCAUUUAAGAUAAAUUAAAAUAAAAUGUACACACACACAGA